rnacentral:tRNA from 4 species
GGUUGUUUAGCUCAGUUGGUUAGAGCGCAUCGUUCACAUCGAUGAGGUCAGAGGUCCGAAUCCUCUAACAACCACCC